rnacentral:rRNA from 1 species
GACAGAGGGCGCGAGCGUUGUUCGGAAUUACUGGGCGUAAAGCGCGUGUAGGCGGCCCGAUAAGUCCGCUGUGAAAGCCCAGGGCUCAACCCUGGGAUGCCGGUGGAUACUGUCGGGCUCGAGUCCGGAAGAGGCGAGUGGAAUUCCUGGUGUAGCGGUGAAAUGCGCAGAUAUCAGGAGGAACACCAAUGGCGAAGGCAGCUCGCUGGGACGUGACUGACGCUGAGACGCGAAAGCGUGGGGAGCAAACAGG